rnacentral:rRNA from 1 species
UACGGGGGAUGCGAGCGUUAUCCGGAUUUAUUGGGUUUAAAGGGUGCGUAGGCGGCGCUUCAGGUCAGCGGUGAAAUACCGGGGCUCAACCCCGGGGCUGCCGUUGAAACCGGAGCGCUAGAAUUCCGAUGCCGUCGGAGGAAUGUGUGGUGUAGCGGUGAAAUGCAUAGAUAUCACGCAGAACUCCGACUGCGAAGGCAGCAUACCGGCGCCCAACUGACGCUGAAGCACGAGAGCAUGGGUAGCGAACAGG